rnacentral:rRNA from 1 species
CCUACGGGGGGCUGCAGUAGGGAAUCUUCGGCAAUGGACGAAAGUCUGACCGAGCAACGCCGCGUGAGUGAAGAAGGUUUUCGGAUCGUAAAACUCUGUUGGUAGAGAAGAACGGUGGUGAGAUAGGACAGUUCAUCAAGUACCGGUAACUACGCAGAAGGGGACGGCUAACUACGUGCAAGCAGCCGCGGUAUUACGUAGGUGCCAGGCGUUGUCCGGAUUUCUUGGGCGUAAAGCGGGGGCAGGUGGUUUCUUAAGUCGAGUGGAAAAGGCCGUGGCUCAACUAUUGUAUGCAUUGGAAACUGGUAGACUAGAGUGUAGGAGAGGAGAGUGGAAUUUCAUGUGUAGCGGUGAAAUGCGUAGAUAUAUGGAGGAACACCGGUGGCGAAAGCGGCUCUCUGGCCUGUAACUGACACUGAGGCUCGAAAGCGUGGGGAGCAAACAGGAUUAGAUACCCGUGUAGUC